AAUUCGUCGAACAGCUGCAGC
rnacentral:miRNA from 1 species